rnacentral:rRNA from 1 species
AUGAACGCUAGCGGCAGGCUUAACACAUGCAAGUCGAGGGGUAUGCUUCUUCGGAAGCAGAGACCGGCGCACGGGUGCGUAACGCGUAUGCAAUCUACCUUUUACAGAGGGAUAGCCCAGAGAAAUUUGGAUUAAUACCUCAUAGUAUUAUAGAAUGGCAUCAUUUUAUAAUUAAAGUCACAACGGUAAAGAUGAGCAUGCGUCCCAUUAGCUAGUUGGAAGGUAACGGCUUACCAAGGCUACGAUGGGUAGGGGUCCUGAGAGGGAGA